rnacentral:misc_RNA from 1 species
AAACACCCUCAACCUUUUCUUUAUUGAAAAGGCUGGACUUGAGUGAUCCCAACGGUUUUUUUAAAAGGCUGGCGGGUUGCUUGAAAUGCAGGUGCGGCUGGACACAUCUUCUGAGCUAUAAGCAUUACCUAUUUAGUCCCGUCAAACGGAUUAUUUCUAUUGCUACAGCUAAUAUAAAGGUUGAUUGUCCUGUGCCCGACUGAUGCAGGAAAACAUGGAGAAAUCCUUGUUCA